rnacentral:rRNA from 1 species
UUUAACGGCCGCGGGACCGUGCAAAGGUAGCGCAAUCACUUGUCUUUUAAAUGAAGACCUGUAUGAAUGGCAUAACGAGGGCUUAACUGUCUCCCCUUUUUAGUCAAUGAAAUUGAUCUUCCCGUGCAGAAGCGGGAAUGACAACAUAAGACGAGAAGACCCUGUGGAGCUUUAGACACAAGGACCGCCCGUGUUAAGCAAGCUUAGCAAAAAGCCAAAACUAAUCGGAAUCUGUCACACUGUCUUUGGUUGGGGCGACCGCGGGGUAAUAAAUACCCCCCACGUAGAAUAGGGGGACUAUCCCCCUAAAACAAAGAGCCGCAGCUCUAACUAGCAGAAUUUCUGACUAAAAGUGAUCCGGCAAGACCGAUCAACGGACCGAGUUACCCCAGGGGAUAACAGCGCAAUCCUCUUCCAGAGCCCAUAUCGNCAAGAGGGUUUACGACCUCGAUGUUGGAUCAGGACAUCCUAAUGGUGCAGCCGCUAUUAAGGGUUCGUUUGUUCAACGAUUAAAGUCCUACGUGA